AAAAAAGAAAUAGGAAGCUCCAAAGGAAAGUCGACCAGUUCAUCCCAAAGCAUUGAAAACUCUAAACAAACACCUCUCUCUUUCUCAAUAGAGACUACGGUAUUACGCCGAUAGUUAUAGUCUUCUUUCACUCUCAACAAUCUCAACAGAGAACAGAAGAAGAGUAUCGCUAAUUGAAAUCCAAUAAACCCAAUUCAAGCCAAAAUAAGGGUUGGUUUUUUCUCACGGAAAGCUUCAGUUUUUCUGCAGAUUUUAAUGAAUUGAAAGAAGUUGGAGAAUUGAGCUUAAAUGCUAAGGCUAGAAUCUGCUCAGAAUAAACUUGUUGGGAGUUGUAGGGAUUUCUGCAAUGCACCGUGUAGCAAGUGCAGGCAACACAUCCAAUUCGGUUCGGCCUAGGAAGGAGAAGAGGUUGACUUAUGUUUUGAAUGAUGCAGAUGACACUAAGCAUUGUGCAGGUGUAAAUUCUUUGGCUGUAUUGAAGUCAUCAGCAACUGAUGGAUGUGAAUACCUAUUUACUGGGAGUAGAGAUGGCACGUUAAAGAGAUGGACAUUGGCUGAAGAUGGUGCCACCUGCUCUGCCACAUUUGAGUCACAUGUCGAUUGGGUAAAUGAUGCUGUUCUUACAAGUAGUAACACAUUAGUAUCCUGCUCCUCAGACACCACUGUCAAGGUGUGGAAUGGCUUAUCUGAGGGAUCUUGUAUUAAGACACUCCGGCAGCACUCUGAUUACGUCACCAGCCUUGCUUCAGCAGAAAAAAAUAGCAAUGUCAUUGCAUCUGCUGGUCUUGGUGGUGAGGUUUUCAUAUGGGAUCUUGAAGCUGCACUUACUCCGACAUCUAAGUCCGGUGAUGCCACUGAAGAAGACUGUUCAAUUGGUGUCAAUGGUUCAGGAAGUUCAUUGCCCAUGACAAGCAUCUGUCCUAUCAGUUCGAGCAAUAACAUUUCCUUGCAGACACACUCUCAAGCAUAUAUUCCUGUGACUGCAAAAGGCCAUAAGGAGUCAGUAUAUGCAUUGGCAAUGAAUGAGAAUGGAUCCCUUCUUGUUUCUGGUGGUACUGAGAAGGUUGUGCGCGUUUGGGACCCAAGAACUGGUUCCAAGACCAUGAAGCUAAAAGGUCAUACAGAUAAUAUUAGGGCUCUCCUGCUAGACUCCACUGGCAGGUUCUGCAUAUCUGGAUCUUCUGAUUCCAUGAUUAGACUAUGGGAUCUAGGUCAGCAACGAUGUGUGCAUUCUUAUGCCGUGCAUACGGAUUCUGUAUGGGCACUUGCUAGCACUCCUACGUUUAGUCAUGUUUAUAGUGGUGGAAGAGACCUAUCUUUAUACUUGACAGAUUUGUCAACAAGGGAGAGUGUAUUGCUGUGCACAAAGGAACACCCCAUUUUACAGUUAGCAUUGCAUGAUGAUGGCAUUUGGGUGGCCACUACUGAUUCAUCUGUACAUAGGUGGGCAGCAGAAGUGCAUAAUCCCCAGAAAGUUUUCCAGAGAGGGGGCUCAUUCUUGGCUGGAAACUUGUCCUUUUCCAGGGCAAGGGUAUCUCUAGAAGGAUCUACACCUGUGCCUGUUUAUAAAGAACCAUCUCUUAGCAUUCAUGGAACUCCAGGAAUAGUGCAGCAUGAGAUUUUGAACAACAGAAGACAUGUCCUGACCAAGGAUACUGCUGGUACAGUGAAGUUGUGGGAGAUCACUAGAGGCACUGUGAUUCACAAUUAUGGAGAGGUUUCAUUUGAGAAGAAGAAAGAAGAACUUUUUGAGAUGGUGAGCAUCCCUGCAUGGUUCACUGUGGACACUAGGCUUGGAAGCUUGGCUGUACAUCUGGAUACGCCACAAUGCUUUUCUGCUGAGAUGUACUCUGCUGACCUCAACAUUCCAGGGAAGCCUGAAGAUGACAAGGUUAAUUUGGCACGAGAAACUCUCAAAGGGCUGUUGGCUCAUUGGUUAACCAAAAGAAAACAGAGAUUUGGAUCUCAAGCUUUAGCCAAUGGGGAAGCCCCACCUGGAAAGGAUGUACCUACAAGGAGUCUGAUAUCGUCAAAAAUUGAAGUGGACAGUAAUGCUGACAAUGAUGCUGCAGUAUAUCCUCCCUUUGAAUUUUCAGCAGCAUGCCCUCCAUCAAUUAUUACUGAGGGUUCUCAGAGUGGUCCAUGGAGGAAAAAGAUUACCGACUUAGAUGGAACAGAAGAUGAAAAGGACAUGCCAUGGUGGGUAGUAGAUUGUGUGAUGAACAAUCGGUUGCCUCCCAGGGAAAAUACCAAAUGUGGCUUCUACUUGCAUCCAUGUGAGGGUUCUACUGUUCAGAUCCUUACCCAAGGAAAGCUGAGUGCGCCUCGCAUAUUAAGAAUUCACAAAGUCAUCAACUAUGUUAUAGAAAAGAUGGUUCUUGAGAAGCCACUGGAUAGCAUAAACUCAGAUGGAGCUGCUGGAAUGCCUGGUGGACAGGUGACACAUCCAGCUAUUGGCGGAGAUGGCAUAUUUCGGACUGGGCUGAAGCCUUGGCAAAAGCUUAAACCAUCCAUAGAGAUCUUGUGCAGUAAUCAGGUUUUAUCCCCUGAUAUGAGCUUAGCGACUGUCCGUGCGUAUAUAUGGAAGAAACCUGAAGACCUUGUCCUCAACUACCGGGUGUUGACAAGCAAGUGAUAGGAUUAUAUUUGUCAGUUCAAUUUUUUUUUCUUUGGGGCGGAGAUUUUCCGGUGGGUUGGUUAGUCAUUGAGUGACAGAUUGUUGAAAAGCAGGCAGAUUUGGGGUGCUGCAGAUCAAAUACUCAUGCCAUGUGGUCCAGAGUAGCUUGAGCUGUUCCUCAAAAAUAAUUGGAAAGUUUAGCAUUCAACUGGCUGCUUGCUGCUGUCAUGAGCAAUUGCUUCCUUGUAGAUCUGGGAUCCAAGUGAUUGGAUUAAUUAGGAAAAUUUACCCAUUUGGACCACUUUGCUGUUUGCACAUCGGAAGGUGGUAAUUAUUGAGUUUUGGUUUUUGGUGCAUUUAGAAGAAAAAAGAAAGAAAGCUUGCAUUUUCUAAAGAAAGGAUUUUUGGUUUAGACGGGACAUGAGACUGAAUUUUUCAAGAGAAAGAGCUCGUGAUGAUGUUGGGAGCCUGUAGAUUUAUACGUAACUCUAUAUGUGAAUGCAGGUGUUUGGAUGUCUCCAUAUAGUCUUUCAAGGACCAUACUCUUGGGCAGGUGAAUAAUAUGUCCAGAACAAAAAUUUAUCUUUUCUGGUCAAACUAAUUUAUAUGUUUACUUUCUUUCUGUAAAUCAUCUGUGUUAUUAGUAUUCUCAAUUUUAGUGGGGAAGAUUUAGUGAUGGGCCAUUUAUAAAGCCGAGCAGAUUGUUCUUAUAUAGUUCUUUACCGACUUUGUGAUGGUUUUGUGCUCAUGUAUUUGGAACUAUUUCUUUUAAUCAUUCAAGUUCUGAAUGGAAUAUUCUGGAGAUAA